rnacentral:rRNA from 1 species
GACGAACGCUGGCGGCGUGCUUAACACAUGCAAGUCGAACGGAAAGGCCCUGCUUUUGUGGGGUGCUCGAGUGGCGAACGGGUGAGUAACACGUGAGUAACCUGCCCUUGACUUUGGGAUAACUUCAGGAAACUGGGGCUAAUACCGGAUAGGAGCUCCUGCUGCAUGGUGGGGGUUGGAAAGUUUCGGCGGUUGGGGAUGGACUCGCGGCUUAUCAGCUUGUUGGUGGGGUAGUGGAUUACAAAGGCUUUGACGGGUAGCCGGCCUGAGAGGGUGACAGGCCACAUUGGGACUGGGAUAGGGCCAGGACUGCUACGGGGGGCAGCAGUGGGGAAUAUUGCACAAUGGGCGGAAGCCUGAUGCAGCAACGCCGCGUGCGGGAUGACGGCCUUCGGGUUGUAAACCGCUUUCGCCUGUGACGAAGAGUGAGUGACGGUAAUGGGUAAAGAAGCACCGGCUAACUACGUG